AGCCCGAACAGCUAGCCCACCCAGUAAAUAUCAACAAACAACAUUAAUUAACCCCCAAAAUCCGAACAGAACCUACUAAAACAUUUUACCCCCUGAGUAUGGGAGACAGAAAAG
rnacentral:rRNA from 1 species